GACGAACGCUGGCGGCGUGCUUAACACAUGCAAGUCGAACGGAAAGGCCCUGCUUUUGUGGGGUGCUCGAGUGGCGAACGGGUGAGUAACACGUGAGUAACCUGCCCUUGACUUUGGGAUAACUUCAGGAAACUGGGGCUAAUACCGGAUAGGAGCUCCUGCUGCAUGUUGUGGGUUGGAAAGUUUCGGCGGUUGGGGAUGGACUCGCGGCUUAUCAGCUUGUUGGUGGGGUAGUGGCUUACCAAGGCUUUGACGGGUAGCCGGCCUGAGAGGGUGACCGGCCACAUGGGGACUGAGAUACGGCCCAGACUCCUACGGGAGGCAGCAGUGGGGAAUAUUGCACAAUGGGCGGAAGCCUGAUGCAGCAACGCCGCGUGCGGGAUGACGGCCUUCGGGUUGUAAACCGCUUUCGCAUGUGACGAAGAGUGAGUGACGGUAAUGGGUAAAGAAGCACCGGCUAACUACGUG
rnacentral:rRNA from 1 species